GUUCCUAAUCCCAGGGGAAUUAGACCGGAAAGCUGCUGGAAUCACAGCGUCUUCCUAGUGGCCAGUCUGGAAGCUUCCGCACAAAGCCAAGAACCUUGAGGACCUGUGUUCCGAGGUACGAGGCACAAGCAGAAGAAAAUGUGUGACCAGCAAGCACCAGAGUGAAGGAGCCUCCAGUUCCCCGCCAACCAUUUUCCACUGCUGACAUGUAGGGAGCACGGGUAAGAGAAAAUGAAUGC
rnacentral:lncRNA from 1 species